GACGAACGCUGGCGGCGUGCUUAACACAUGCAAGUCGAACGGUAAGGCCCUUCGGGGUACACGAGUGGCGAACGGGUGAGUAACACGUGGGUGAUCUGCCCUGCACUUCGGGAUAAGCCUGGGAAACUGGGUCUAAUACCGGAUAGGACUCCUGGCUUCAUGGUUGGGGGUGGAAAGCUUUUGCGGUGUGGGAUGGGCCCGCGGCCUAUCAGCUUGUUGGUGGGGUAAUGGCCUACCAAGGCGACGACGGGUAGUCGGCCUGAGAGGGUGACCGGGCACACUGGGACUGAGGUACGGCCCAGACUCCUACGGGAGGCAGCAGUGGGGAAUAUUGCACAAUGGGCGCAAGCCUGAUGCAGCGACGCCGCGUGAGGGAUGACGGCCUUCGGGUUGUAAACCUCUUUCAGCUAUGACGAAGCGCAAGUGACGGUAGUAGCAGAAGAAGGACCGGCCAACUACGUGCCAGCCGCCGCCGUAA
rnacentral:rRNA from 1 species